AUAUUGGUCAAUGGACCAUAGCCUAACCCAGCCGAGUAACGUGCAGAAUUUCGGCCCUAUGGGUUGUAUGCUGCUUUUAUAAGGGAAUAAAGUUAGCCUCGUGAGUCUUUUUGCAUGUACCUUAUGGAUAA
rnacentral:rRNA from 1 species